rnacentral:rRNA from 1 species
ACUCAAAUGAAUUGACGGGGACCCGCACAAGCGGUGGAGUAUGUUGUUUAAUUCGAAGCAACGCGAAGAACCUUACCUACGCUUGACAUACCGGUUGGGAGGAGCAGAGAUGUUCUUCUUCAUUUAGUUGGACCGGAUACAGGUGCUGCAUGGCUGUCGUCAGCUCGUGUCGUGAGAUGUUGGGUUAAGUCCCGCAACGAGCGCAACCCUUAUCGUAUGUUGCCAUCAUUAAGUUGGGCACUCGUGCGAGACCGCCGGUGACAAGCCGGAGGAAGGUGGGGACGACGUCAAGUCAUCAUGGCCCUUACGCGUAGGGCUACAAACGUACUACAAUGGCAGUGACAAUGGGCAGCGCGAUCGCGAGAUCAAGCAAAUCCCCAAAAGCUGUCUCAGUUCAGAUUGUACUCUGCAACUCGAGUGCAUGAAGCUGGAAUCGCUAGUAAUCGUGGAUCAGCAUGCCACGGUGAAUACGUUCCCGGGUCUUGUACACACCGCCCGU